AGUUUCAACACCGGUUGAAUAUGGCAGGUGUCAAUAAACGUCGUCAAAAAAGCUCAUUACAGUAAAUUGUUGUCAGGAGCACAGUUACAGUCACCAACACUCUGGAUAACAUGAAAACAGCCUAACCAACUCUGCUAGGGCGAGUAAAAUGGUCAGAAUUUGGGUGGGGGCUAAAGGUGUGGAUGUUUCUUAUGAUAUUGCACUCGGUCAGUGUGAACCAGAGUGACUUGACACAACAACGGGACAAGCAAGCUGUAAAUACAAAACGGAAACAACACAGGACUUCUUAUUUAAUUAAAUGGGUUGCAGCCUGCCGUGAAGCUUUAAUCCAUGUAACAUUAACGUGUACGGCAUCAAUAGGACACACCUGACAAUCCUCCACCAGUCAUACAAAGAGAAUGGUCUAAUGCCUCCCAUCAAAAAGAGAGCUGGGCCAACCAAGCACAGGUUACACCUGAAGCAUGAGGACUUGCAGCUAGUGGUGAACUUCAUCAACAACUACGCAGAGGAUAAUGCAAUAGUAUUACCUGGACGCCACUCAGGACACAAACACUUUGGUGGAAAGCUGCUGCCAUCUCAUAUGACAAAAGCAGCAGUGUGGCGUCUCUACAAGGAUUCGAUGACAACACUUGAAGCUGUUAAGUCAGCCAAGCUGAAGAAGCAAGAGAAGCAUCUCCAGCUUGUUCAGUGAGCAGUCUGUCUACCAGAAGAUGGCUGCUGACUGCAAGACCACCUGUCAAGACCUGCAGUUGUCUCUGGGGGCCCCUACUGAACCAGCAAGCAAAGACAUCAUGAUGCAUUACAGCUUUUAUUUUGCUCAACAACCAGGUCCCAUCUACUUAUUAACUCCUCGCAAGUGUGUCUUGUUUGGUGUCUGCUGUGAAGGAAUACCACAAGUCAACUACUUGAUUGAGGAAGGCACGUCAUCCAGCAAAGGCAGCAGCGCAGUUAUCAACUACAUGCACCAUUUCUUCACCAACUACGGAGUUGGGGAAACAAGUCUGGACCUGAAUUGUGAUAACUGCAGUGGACAAAACAAGAACAUGUUUGUGCUCUGGUAUUGUGCCUGGCAAACCAUGCACAAGCUCCACCACAGUUUGGACCUUCACUGCCUGAUCACAGGCCACACCAUGUUUGCCCUGACUGGUGCUUGGACCUCCUCAAGACCAGAGUGAACACUUUGUCUGAGAUUGAUGGUGUUGUGAAGGACAGCACUGUGACAGGGGUCAACAUCCCACCUCUGGUUGGACUGGAGGAUGGUACGGUGCUGGUGGAAAGCUACGGCUGGCAACAACACCUGACUCUGUACCACAGAUCAAGCAGUACCAGCACUUCAGCUUCGAUGCUCUGGAGACUGGUGUUGUCGCAAUGCUGACACCCUUCCUCCCAUAGAUGGCCUGCCUGUACAUGCACCACCUAAACUGGACACAACCUGACAAACAUAUCUUUUUGAGAAGAUUGGGGAGUUUUGCGACUAAGGCUAUGGACAUCAAUAUGCCCUGCACCGUAGUCGGAGGCAGGACAAACAGGCUCUCCGAAUAUAGAUUCCCGUGUUCAUGCGUGGUUUGGACGGACCAGUCAUCAGCACUAUCUGCAGUGCUCUAUUCACGACUCUCUCCUAACACGCACGCCAUGUUGCUGCUACUGUUUUAUUUUAUUCUGCUUCCACUUUACCCCUGAUUGUAUGCAUAUAACUACUCAUCUAUCACUGAUAUUGCUCUUGUGCAUACUGUAUAUUAUUUGAUUGAUAUUGACACUAUCUAUUUCUGAAAAUGCAAGUAACCAUUUGACUGUACCGUUUACAUCUUCUGUAGAGACCCAUCCACUUAGCAAGACUUAGCAAAAUAUUGAUAUAUAAAAUUAAUUUUGACGUGUGGUCGUAACAUGAUUUUGUGACAUACCACAAUAUCAUGUGACCGUAUCAAGUGUUCACCACAUAAAUAUAUGGUGCAUGUAUCUGUAUAUGUACUGGACAUGUGCACCUCACUCAGGUUGCAUGGCCUUAACCUAUGUAUGGAAUACUAUGUGAUAAGUGUGUGUGUAACAGUAUAUAAAGUAUGCUAAUGAACGGAUGUGAAGGCAUUUGGGCAUUGGUGUAAAAAUACACUGCUCAAAAAAAUAAAGGGAACACUGAAAUAACACAUCCUAGAUCUGAAUGAAUGAAAUAUUCUUAUUAAGUACUUUUUUUGGUGGAUGGAGCGAGACAUGAAGUCCCAGAUGU